rnacentral:rRNA from 1 species
AGCCUGAUGCAGCGACGCCGCGUGAGGGAUGACGGCCUUCGGGUUGUAAACCUCUUUCAGUAGGGAAGAAGCGAAAGUGACGGUACCUGCAGAAGAAGCGCCGGCUAACUACGUGCCAGCAGCCGCGGUAAUACGUAGGGCGCAAGCGUUAUCCGGAUUUAUUGGGCGUAAAGAGCUCGUAGGCGGUUUGUCGCGUCUGCCGUGAAAGUCCGAGGCUCAACCUCGGAUCUGCGGUGGGUACGGGCAGACUAGAGUGAUGUAGGGGAUACUGGAAUUGCUGGUGUAGCGGUGAAAUGCGCAGAUAUCAGGAGGAACACCGAUGGCGAAAGCAGGUCUCUGGGCAUUUACUGACGCUGAGGAGCGAAAGCAUGGGGUGCAAACAGGAUUAGAUACCCUGGUAGACCAUGCCGUAAACGUUGGGCACUAGGUGUGGGGGACAUUCCACGUUUUCCGCGCCGUAGCUAACGCAUUAAGAGCCCCGCCUGGGGAGUACGGCCGCAAGGCUAAAACUCAAAGGAAUUGACGG